GUAGGUGGCGAGCGUUAUCCGGAAUCAUUGGGCGUAAAGAGGGAGCAGGCGGCAGUGCAGGUCUGCGGUGAAAGACCGGAGCUAAACUUCGGUAAGCCGUGGAAACCGCACAGCUAGAGAGCAUCAGAGGAUCGCGGAAUUCCAUGUGUAGCGGUGAAAUGCGUAGAUAUAUGGAGGAACACCAGUGGCGAAGGCGGCGGUCUGGGGUGCAGCUGACGCUCAGUCCCGAAAGCGUGGGGAGCAAAUAGGAUUAGAUACCCUAGUAGUCCACGCCGUAAAUGAUGAGUGCUAAGUGUUGGGGGUCAGACCUCAGUGCUGGAGUUAACGCAAUAAGCACUCCGCCUGAGUAGU
rnacentral:rRNA from 1 species